AAAUUGGAUGUAGGUUUUGGUGUAGAAUUGGGGGAGAGAGGCCUAAUUUCAAUUUCAAUAGUAAUUGAGAAUUUUAAAUGAAUUGGGCGUGACCAAGAAAGAAUCCUACCCACCAUGUGCCUUAUCGCCUCUUCCUCCGCCGUCGCCGCCGCAUUCCCGCCAAAACCCCUCAUUUCACCACCACCACCACCAUCGAACGAUCAAAACCAUAAACUUCGUCGUUUUAGAAUCAAUAUCUUCCGCAGAGAAGCCAUUGCAGUCUCAUUCCUAGCUCUCGUCCCUUCCCUCCAUCAACCUUCCCCUGCAAUCGCAUUCUCUAUCGGCAUCUCAGGACCAAAAGAUUGGCUGAGAGAGCAAAAGAAGAAGUCUUCCAGGUUCGUCUUGGCUCCCAUCGACGCUUCCCGCAACACUCUCCGUGCUGCUUAUCUCUUACUAACAAAGGGCGAUUCUGAUUAUGGAGACAAAGACUUGGAAGAAGUUCAGAGGUUGCUCAGAUCUGCUACUAUGGAUUGCGUUCCGCAAGAGAGGAAUUCUUUUGUUACCUUUCAAGCUAAAACAGGAGUUGAGGUUUGUACAUUCCGCUUGGUUGUGAAGAAUGCAUCAUCAUUACUUGAUGACAAUGAUCCAAUAAAAUUGGAAGCUGAAGCUAGUCUUAGGGAUCUCGUAAGGUCAUUUACCUCUCUCAAUGCUGUGGCAAAUGAUACUGAUAUCCAAUUACCUUCCAGUAGGCAGAAGGUGGCAGAUGCACUCAUGGACACAAUUUCUUCCCUAAACAAAUUCGAGCAGGGAUAAUUGGGCUGAAUGAUCCAAUCGUUCACACAAGGAGUUUAUAUGCUGCUCUAACUAUCUCUUAAUAGCGUCAUAUGAUGUACCCAUGCUACAUUUUGGUGGCCUGUUAAAUUUCAUACUUGUAAAUGAAAUUGUAAUGCUGUCAUACCUGAUGUCAUGCUUUUGGUAGCCAGUUUUAUUUAUUUUUUGAAUCGUGAAUGUUGAUAUGUGGUAAAAAUAGAUGAUAAUAUCUGACCAAAAAAAACAGCAUGAGGCAGUUGUAAGAUGUAUUUGCAACAAGGAAUGUCCCAAUGUGCACCUUCUUACUAAAAUAUGGUGGGAAUUGACUUCUCUAGGUGGAGGACGUGUAAACUACUGUUGUCUCCAAAACACUUAAAAGAACCUUAGCCGGGAUAAAUAUAAAUGAUCUGCCAUGACUUGGUUCAUAAUUUACGUCCAUAUUGUUUAGAGAGGAAGUGAAAGCCUUUGUACCAAUCCAAAACUUCUUCUGCUGUAGUUUGGCCUCUAGAUAUUUAGUGGAAAGAAACCUCCAUCAAAUAAGAAAGUGCAGAGGAUAUAAAUUAUUCUCUCUUGGAAGUA